rnacentral:pre_miRNA from 1 species
UGGUACUUGGAGGGAGGUUGUCCGUGGUGAGUUCGCAUUACUUAACGAUGCCCAAUACACGGUCGACCUCUUUUCGGUAUCACAUC